AACGUAGGUUCCGAGCGUUAUCCGGAUUUACUGGGCGUAAAGCGCGUUCAGGCGGUUUGGCAAGUCGGGCAUGAAAUCCUUCGGCUCAACCGGGGGAGGUUGUCCGAUACUGCUAAACUGGAGGGCAGUAGAGGGUGGUGGAAUUCCGGGUGUAGUGGUGAAAUGCGUAGAGAUCCGGAGGAACACCAGUGGCGAAAGCGGCCACCUGGACUGUACCUGACGCUGAGGCGCGAAAGCGUGGGGAGCAAACAGG
rnacentral:rRNA from 1 species